rnacentral:rRNA from 1 species
AACGAACGCUGGCGGCGCGCCUAACACAUGCAAGUCGAACGGAACUGAGAUAAGCUUGCUUUUCUUAGCUUAGUGGCUAACGGGUGAGUAACGCGUAAGUAACCUGCCAUUGAGUCGGGGACAACAAUGGGAAACGACUGCUAAUACCACAUAAUCCCACGAUCCGGCAUCGGAUUGAGGGCAAAGGAUUUAUUCGCUUCAGAAUGGCCUCGCGUCCAAUUACCUAGUUGGUGAGGUAACGGCCCACCAAGGCGCCGAUUGGUAAACGGACUGAGAGGUUGAGUGGCCACACUGGGACUGGGACACGGUCGAGAAUACUAGGGGAUGGAGGAGUGGGGGAUAUUGCAAAAUCGGGGAAACGCAGAUGGAGCGCCGCUGCGUGAGGGAAGAAGGUUUUAGGAUUGUAAAGUCCUGUCGUAAGCGACGAUAAUGACGGUACCUAAAAAGAAAGCACCGGCUAACUACGUG